UACGUAGGGGGCAAGCGUUGUCCGGAUUUAUUGGGCGUAAAGCGCGUGUAGGCGGCCAGGUAGGUCCGCUGUGAAAACCCGAGGCUCAACCUCGGGACGUCGGCGGAAACCAUUUGGCUAGAGUCCGGAAGAGGAGAGUGGAAUUCCCGGUGUAGCGGUGAAAUGCGCAGAUAUCAGGAAGAACACCCGUGGCGAAGGCGGCUCUCUGGGGACGGUACUGACGCUGAGACGCGAAAGCGUGGGGAGCGAACAGGAUUAGAUACCGAGUA
rnacentral:rRNA from 1 species